rnacentral:rRNA from 3 species
GAACGUUGAAGACGACGACGUUGAUAGGCCGGGUGUGUAAGCGCAGCGAUGCGUUGAGCUAACCGGUACUAAUGAACCGUGAGGCUUAACCUUACAACGCCGAAGGUGUUU